rnacentral:tRNA from 1 species
GGGCUCAUAGCUCAGUUGGUUAGAGCUGCGGACUCAUAAUCCGUAGGUCCGGGGUUCAAGUCCCUGUGAGCCCA